rnacentral:rRNA from 1 species
GACGAACGCUGGCGGCGUGCUUAACACAUGCAAGUCGAACGGAAAGGCCCUGCUUUUGUGGGGUGCUCGAGUGGCGAACUGGUGAGUAACACGUGAGUAACCUGCCCUUGACUUUGGGAUAACUUCAGGAAACUGGGGCUAAUACCGGAUAGGAGCUCCUGCUGCAUGGUGGGGGUUGGAAAGUUUCGGCGGUUGGGGAUGGACUCGCGGCUUAUCAGCUUGUUGGUGGGGUAGUGGCUUACCAAGGCUUUGACGGGUAGCCGGCCUGAGAGGGUGACCGGCCACAUUGGGACUGAGAUACGGCCCAGACUCCUACGGGAGGCAGCAGUGGGGAAUAUUGCACAAUGGGCGGAAGCCUGAUGCAGCAACGCCGCGUGCGGGAUGACGGCCUUCGGGUUGUAAUCCGCUUUCGCCUGUGACGAAGCGUGAGUGACGGUAAUGGGUAAAGAAGCACCGGCUAACUACGUG